rnacentral:rRNA from 1 species
UACGAAGGGGGCUAGCGUUGCUCGGAAUCACUGGGCGUAAAGCGCACGUAGGCGGAUCUUUAAGUCAGGGGUGAAAUCCUGGAGCUCAACUCCAGAACUGCCUCUGAUACUGGGGAUCUUGAGUCCGGAAGAGGUAAGUGGAACUGCGAGUGUAGAGGUGAAAUUCGUAGAUAUUCGCAAGAACGCCAGUGGCGAAGGCGGCUUACUGGUCCGGUACUGACGCUGAGGUGCGAAAGCGUGGGGAGCAAACAGG